ensembl:lncRNA
ACAGGGUCAGGGAGCUGAGAUCCCACAUGCCUUGUGGCCAAAAAACCAAAGCAUUAAAAAAAAAAAAGAAAACAGAAGCAAUGUUGUAAGAAAUUGAAGAAAGACUUUAAAAAUGGUCCACCUCAAAGAAAUCUUAAAAAAAAAAAAAAAGACAAGAAAAUGGAGGAGUCAAGGUAGCUGGAAGCACUACACAGAACCUAGAAUUUUUAGGACAAGCCUGCAAUUUUUAGGUCUGAGAAGAUAAUGUGGGCAAAGAACGAACUGAAUAAAGAAUGAGAUUUGAACAUCCCGCAAGGCAGGGGGCGUGGAGUGCUGGCACCUGAUGGGGAAGACCAGGGGCCCUGGAGUCAGUGAGACUGAGGUUCAGGUCCUCCCUCUGAUUCUUGCCAGAUGCACAGCCUGAGGCAUGGAUUCCUGUGCCAGUGACUUUUGGAAGAUGAGGGGCUGGAAGGGAGUGAUGGAAGCAGGAUGGGGCAGAGGAACCAAGCAGGAUGGAGUAACUCUGGUAUAUUGUCACUUCUGUCUUGGACUGCAAACCAUUUUUCUGAUCUCUGGUCUCAGCCACAGCUUCCAGCCUCUUAGAUUCUGAAGCGCUGGAAUCAAGGUCUCUGCUACAGCGCUUCUGAUCAAGGCUCUGGAUGCUCCAGGCUUCUGGGUGCUCAGGUAUGGGACAGAGUUGGGUUCAAAGCCUUGUUCUGCCACUUUGUGAGUUGCUUACUUAAUCUUUUGGAUCCUGUGUCAUCUGUAAAAUGGAACCAAUAUGUUCUCCUCAACAUUGUUGUACAGUUUAAAUUAGAUAAUGCAGUUUAGUCCAGGAACUCUCCCACAGUGAAAGGAGAACCAACACCGAAUGAUGUCUUUAAUGAUCUCAAGGAAGAACCCCAUCCUUGCGGCCGUUUGGUCAGGGCUUUUUAGUGAUUCUCAAUAGUUAAGUCAACAGGCAGCGCUGCCGCGGCCUUCUCCAUUUGAUGGCUCCAGGCUGGGUCCAUUCGUGCCCUUAGAUCUUGGCUCUUGUGUCCAGCUUUCUGGUGCUCACUGCGGGCUGUGAAGAUGAGCCGAAUUGUGAAGGAGUGAGUGUCGCAUGCCCCUGUGAUUAUGGUAGGGUUUGAUACGGGAUCCCUGUGGUCUGAUGGUGAUGUUUGGAGAUGGAUGUCGGGUUUGUGAGUGGAGUGCCGGGUACCUUGGCCAGUAUUACAGCUUGCUUGUAAAUUCACUGCAGAGCUCCUCGUUGCUGUUCUGAAAAUGACAUCCCUCCCUCCCUUCCCUCUGUCUGGCAGGAGCUGAAGUUGCCAUUAGUGUUAUUUACCAGACAUUUCCAACUUCCUCAUUCUCAGUCCUUGGCUAGGCUUAUAUUUCCUCAUCUACUUUAAAACUGGAUAUGGCCCUGAGACCUCCUGUGGUCCCAGUAAACCUCCACUGUCAGGUAAGAAAGCGGUGUUUGCACUAUCUACUGACAUCUGGGGUUUGCUUGUUAGUUCAGCAUCACUGAUGUAUCCUGACCCACACACCUGGCAGAUGCUUGCAAGACCCACAAGGCGGGGGACUCUGCCUGGUUUGUUCACCAUCCCAGUCCCAGGACCUAGCAUAGUGCCCAGCACAUCUAAGUAGUUGAUCAAUACUUGCUGAAGAAUGAAAGAAAGGCCUUGGGACCACCAGAUCUGUUUGAUUCUGUUUUUAUCACUCAUCAGCUACAUGAACUUUGGCAAUUCACUUAACCUUCAUAAUUCUUAAACUUUCUAAUUCUUGCAGUGGGAGUGUUGUUCCUUGAAAUGUUACUGUAGGAUUUAUUCUGAUAAUGUGGAAGUUUCUGGCACACAGCGGGUACCCAAUACAUGAUGGUUAACAAAAGUCUUUUGCUUUGAACAGAGAAGGAAGAUGGAUGCAGGAGAGGAGACAGAACCUGUUUAAGUAUUUCUUUCUAGGAGCCAGAGUUUGAAUCAAGACCUUGGAACCCUGAACUCCUGCAUUGGAUCACCAGACCCUAUUCCAGCCACCACUUAACAGUCGCUGUGUUUUGGGUCCGUUACAUGCGCUGGUCCAUUUAACUGUUGAAAUGUUCAUUCAGAUGUCUGUCACUGCAGUUUGGAAGACAAGGAACAGAGGAGUAAGAUCUGUGGAUGUCUGAUUGGUGGUGAG